UGGAAGGGCCGUCGAUCAACGGAUAAAAGUUACCCCGGGGAUAACAGGCUGGUCCCGCCCGAGAGUUCACAUCGACGGCGGGGUUCGGCACCUCGAUGUCGGCUCAUCCCAUCCUGGGGCUGAAGCAGGUCCCAAGGGUUGGGCUGUUCGCCCAUUAAAGGGGUACGUGAGCUGGGUUCAGACCGUCGUGAGACAGGUCGGUCCCUAUCUGCCGCGGGCGUAGGAGGCUUGAGGGGGGUCCUCCCUUGUACGAGAGGACCGGGAGGAGGGGGCCUCUGGUGUACCGGCUGUCGCGCCAGCGGCAUACGCCGGGUAGCUAUGCCCCUAAGCGAUAACCGCUGAAAGCAUCUAAGCGGGAAGCGCGCCCCAAGAUUAGGCCUCCCAUCCCGUUAAGGGAGUAAGGCCGGUCCGAGAAGAGGACCUUGAUAGGCCAGGGGUGUAAGCGCCGCAAGGCGUUGAGCCCACUGGUACUAAUCGGCCGAGGCCUUGACCUC
rnacentral:rRNA from 1 species